AUGGGGAACGUGUUGGAGUCGGUGGUGUCGGGGUUCACCAAGGUCCUCGCCGGCCUCCUCUCCAAGCCCAUCGACUUCCUCUCCGGCAAGGCAUGCAGCACGGUCUGUGGCCCAACAUGGGACAUCUUCUGCUACGUCGAGAACUUCUGCGUCGCCAGCCUCGCCAAGACCGCCGUCACGCUCUUCCUCCUCUACCUUGUGCUCCUCUUCUUCUACGUCGUCUACAAGCUGGGCAUAUGCCGCUGCGUCGGCCAUGUGAUCUCCAAGAUACUCUGCUCCUGCCUCUCCUGCUGCUCCUCCGCCUGCAAGCACGGCUGCGCGCGUAUCUGCAACAAGAUGAGGAGCAUCAAGCACGCACGGCAGAGACGACCGAGAAGAAGGCGCCCACGCCACGACGACGACAUCGAACAAGGGCACUUCUCCUCCAGCGACAGUGACAGCGAGCCGCCAGAGGAUACUGCUGGUAGGCAUAGAAGACAUGCCGCGGCGAGGCAUGGCAACUCUGAAGGAUCAUCAGUGUCAAGGAGGAGGGUUUAUCUGGAGAGGUCCCUCAGGCCCAGGAACCACCGGGUCACCGUCGGCGUCAGCCGUCGCUCCGACGCCGUCAUCAAGGAGGGGAAGGAGCCCAGGGUGAGCCACAGGCAUGAUGGGAGUCACAGGGAGCUUCACCAUCACCACGGCAUCAAGGUGACACACACCUCCCGGUUCGCGCGCAAGGCCAGUGCAAGGAGCAGGAGUACUCUUAGAGCUUGA
rnacentral:rRNA from 1 species